rnacentral:misc_RNA from 1 species
GUGAAUCAUCGAAUCUUUGAACGCAAAUUGCACUCUCCUCGGAGAGUAUGACUGUUUGAGGGUCAGCCUAUAAAAAAUCGACAUCGUUGCUGUUUCGCGGUGACGGUCGUCGGAAAUUGGGUUAUCUUAAAUCCUUUUGGUUUUAAGCGACUUAAAAUUUUCGUUUUGGUUUCAUGAACGUUUCUAAGAUUUAUUUCUUUACACGUGUAAGGGUAUUGGUUUUGAUUAGAGGUGACCAUCAUAUCGGAUCGCGUCCAUAAUCUUUUAUUAA